rnacentral:rRNA from 1 species
AUUGAACGCUGGCGGCAGGCCUGACACAUGCAAGUCGAACGGUAACAGGAAGAAGCUUGCUUCUUUGCUGACGAGUGGCGGACGGGUGAGUAAUGUCUGGGAAACUGCCUGAUGGAGGGGGAUAACUACUGGAAACGGUAGCUAAUACCGCAUAACGUCGCAAGACCAAAGAGGGGGACCUUCGGGUCUCUUGCCAUCGGAUGUGCCCAGAUGGGAUUAGCUAGUUGGUGGGGUAACGGCUCACCAAGGCGACGAUCCCUAGUUGGUCUGAGAGGAUGACCAGCCACACUGGAACUGAGACACGGUCCAGACUCCUACGGGAGGCAGCAGUGGGGAAUAUUGCACAAUGGGCGCAAGCCUGAUGCAGCCAUGCCGCGUGUAUGAAGAAGGCCUUCGGGUUGUAAAGUACUUUCAGCGGGGAGGAAGGGAGUAAAGUUAAUACCUUUGCUCAUUGACGUUACCCGCAGAAGAAGCACCGGCUAACUCCGUGCCAGCCGCCGCCGUAA